rnacentral:lncRNA from 1 species
CCAGGAGAUGGCGACGCAUGGGAAAGGCUCUGCUGGAGGAAAAUUCGUUUCCAAGACUCACACUAAGAGCCACAGAAACCAGAGUGAAAGCCCAAGCCCUGAUUUGCCAAAGCCAGUUGAGACGUAGAAUAUUACCUUCUCCAAAUCAUUGGGAGCGCAGUCUUUCCUCGAAAGCAACCAAGAUUUUCAAGAAACCACUUUUUAUAAUUUGACUCUGACAUUGUA